GUCCACGCUGUAAACGAUGGGUACUAGGCUUUAUGGGAUUUGACCCCUGUAGAGCCGGAGCUAACGCAAUAAGUACCCCGCCUGGGAAGUACGGUCGCAAGACUAAAACUCAAAGGAAUUGACGGGGGCCCGCACAAGCGGUGGAUCAUGUGGUUUAAUUCGAAGCAACGCGCAAAACCUUACCUAGGUUUGACAUCCUCUGACCGCUGUAGAAAUACAGUUUUUGUAGCAAUACAACAGAGAGACAGGUGCUGCAUGGCUGUCGU
rnacentral:rRNA from 1 species